rnacentral:rRNA from 1 species
GACGAACGCUGGCGGCGUGCCUAAUACAUGCAAGUAGAACGCACAGUUUAUACCGUAGCUUGCUACACCAUAGACUGUGAGUUGCGAACGGGUGAGUAACGCGUAGGUAACCUGCCUGGUAGCGGGGGAUAACUAUUGGAAACGAUAGCUAAUACCGCAUAAUAUUAAUUAUUGCAUGAUAAUUAAUUGAAAGGUGCAAUUGCACCACUACCAGAUGGACCUGCGUUGUAUUAGCUAGUAGGUGAGGUAACGGCUCACCUAGGCGACGAUACAUAGCCGACCUGAGAGGGUGAUCGGCCACACUGAGACGGAGACACGGCCCAGACUCCUACGGGAGGCAGCAGUAGGGAAUCUUCGGCAAUGGACGAAAGUCUGACCGAGCAACGCCGCGUGAGUGAAGAAGGUUUUCGGAUCGUAAAGCUCUGUUGUAAGAGAAGAACGGGUGUGAGAGUGGAAAGUUCACACUGUGACGGUAUCUUACCAGAAAGGGACGGCUAACUACGUG